rnacentral:rRNA from 1 species
AACGAACGCUGGCGGCAUGCCUAACACAUGCAAGUCGAACGAGACCUUCGGGUCUAGUGGCGCACGGGUGCGUAACGCGUGGGAACCUGCCCUUAGGUUCGGAAUAACUCCCCGAAAGGGGUGCUAAUACCGGAUAAUGUCUUCGGACCAAAGAUUUAUCGCCUUUGGAUGGGCCCGCGUUGGAUUAGCUAGUUGGUAGGGUAAAAGCCUACCAAGGCGACGAUCCAUAGCUGGUCUGAGAGGAUGAUCAGCCACACUGGGACUGAGACACGGCCCAGACUCGUACGGGAGGCAGCAGUGGGGAAUAUUGGACAAUGGGCGAAAGCGUGAUCCAGCAAUGCCGGGUGAGUGAUGAAGGGCUUAGGGUUGUAAAGCUCUUUUACACGGGAUGAUAAUGACGGUACCGGGAGAAUAAGCUCCGGCUAACUCCGUG